rnacentral:rRNA from 1 species
UACGUAGGUGGCAAGCGUUGUCCGGAAUCACUGGGCGUAAAGGGCGCGUAGGCGGAUCUUUAAGUCGGGGGUGAAAGCCCAGGGCUCAACCCUGGAAUUGCCUUCGAUACUGGAGAUCUUGAGACCGGAAGAGGUAAGUGGAACUGCGAGUGUAGAGGUGAAAUUCGUAGAUAUUCGCAAGAACACCAGUGGCGAAGGCGGCUCACUGGCCCGUUACUGACGCUCAGGCGCGACAGCGUGGGGAUCAAACAGG